rnacentral:rRNA from 1 species
GCCGGACCUGACCUGCUAUCGGAUUGAUACUAAGCCAUGCGAGUCAUUGUAGCAAUACAAGGCAGACGGCUCAGUAACGCGUAGUCAAUCUACCCUAUGGACGGGAAUAACCUCGGGAAACUGAGAAUAAUGCCCGAUAGAACAUUAUGCCUGGAAUGGUUUAUGUUUCAAAUGAUUUAUCGCCAUAGGAUGGGACUGCGGCCUAUCAGUUUGUUGGUGAGGUAAUGGCCCACCAAGACUAUUACAGGUACGGGCUCUGAGAGGAGUAGCCCGGAGAUGGGUACUGAGACACGGACCCAGGCCCUAUGGGGCGCAGCAGGCGAGAAAACUUUGCAAUGUGCGAAAGCACGACAAGGUUAAUCCGAGUGGUUUCUGCUAAAGAAACCUUUUGUCAGUCCUAGAAACACUGAUGAAUAAGGGGUGGGCAAGUUCUGGUGUCAGCCGCCGCGGUAAAACCAGCACCUCAAGUGGUCAGGAUGAUUAUUGGGCCUAAAGCAUCCGUAGCUCGUUUUGUAAGUUUUCGGUUAAAUCCAUGCGCUUAACGUAUGGGCUGCCGGGAAUACUGCAUAACUAGGAAGUGGGAGAGGUAGACGGUACUCGGUAGGAAGGGGUAAAAUCCUUUGAUCUAUUGAUGACCACCUGUGGCGAAGGCGGUCUACCAGAACACGUUCGACGGUGAGGGAUGAAAGCUGGGGGAGCAAACCGGAUUAGAUACCCGGGUAGUCCCAGCUGUAAACUAUGCAAACUCAGUGAUGCAUUGGCUUGUGGCCAAUGCAGUGCUGCAGGGAAGCCGUUAAGUUUGCCGCCUGGGAAGUACGUACGCAAGUAUGAAACUUAAAGGAAUUGGCGGGGGAGCACCAC